rnacentral:lncRNA from 1 species
CAGGAGUCCUGCCUUAGCCACAGGGGAUAUACUCUAAGACUCCCAGUGGGUGCCUGAAACCACAGUAAUGAACCUUAAAUAUACUGUUUUUUUCCUAUUCAUAAACCACACCUAACUAAUAACUAAUAAUAGAAUAGAAUAAUUGUAACAAUAUACUGUAAUAAAAGUUAUGUGAUGUAGCCUCUUAAAAUAUCUUAUUUUACUAUACUUACCUGUCUUUUUAUAAUGAUGUGAAAUGAUAAAAUGCCUAUGUGAUGAGAUAAAGUGAGGUGAAUAAUAUGGGCAUUGUGACCUAGUGUUAGGCUACUGUUGAACUUCUGACAUUUAGUCAGAAGGAAGAUCAUCUGCUUUCAUACUGCGGCUGAUCAUGGGUAGCUGAAAACCAUGAAAAAUGAAACUGCAGAUAACGGUGGUUACUGAAAUAGGACUUUUAGUCUUCCUCAAGCAUAUCCAUAGCAAGCCUUCUAAGCUUUCAAAAUUCAACUUUGAAAACAAAUCUCAAGCAGAAGGAAUCCACAAAGCAAUCCCAGAUGUUUUCAGAAGCAAUGGAGGAGUAUCUAGAGUCAUCAGCUGAUCACCAGAGGAUCUCCUGAACAUCUCUGAAAUUGUAUACCAUCCUGGGGCCAUAUCCUUGUGAUAGAAAAGAAAAUGUCAUCCAGUCUCAUGAUAAUGACUGUCAUAAAUAAGGGAAAUGGAAUGGCAAGGACAAUUAACCCACACUCUUCAUCAUGGUAAGUGGUUCUUCUUGGUUAAGGCUGUUUUAUGUCCAUAGACUAUCUUGUACACAUUCAGGGUAUACUCUACAGUGUUCGUAAUUAUGAAAAUCCUACCACUGUGUUUGCAACUACUUGAAAUUUUG